rnacentral:rRNA from 1 species
UACGUAGGGGGCAAGCGUUGUCCGGAAUCAUUGGGCGUAAAGCGCGUGUAGGCGGCUCGGUAAGUCCGCUGUGAAAGUCCAGGGCUCAACCCUGGAAUGCCGGUGGAAACUGUCGAGCUAGAGUCCGGAAGAGGCGAGUGGAAUUCCUGGUGUAGCGGUGAAAUGCGCAGAUAUCAGGAGGAACACCAAUGGCGAAGGCAGCUCGCUGGGACGGUACUGACGCUGAGACGCGAAAGCGUGGGGAGCAAACGGG